rnacentral:rRNA from 1 species
AAUCAACGCUGGCGGCGUGCCUAACACAUGCAAGUCGAGCGAGGCGUCCCGCAAGGGAUAGUCGAGCGGCGAACGGGUGAGUAACGCGUGGAUUAUCUGCCCUGAGGUGGGGGAUAACCCGGGGAAACUCGGGCUAAUACCGCAUAUGACCGUGAGGUCAAAGGGGGGUCACAAGAUCUCUCGCCAUAGGAGGAGUCCGCGUUCGAUUAGCUAGUUGGUAGGGUAAUGGCCUACCAAAGCGACGAUCGAUAGCCGGCCUGAGAGGGUGAUCGGCCACACUGGAACUGAGACACGGUCCAGACUCCUACGGGAGGCAGCAGUGGGGAAUUUUGCGCAAUGGGCUAACGCCUGACGCAGCAACGCCGCGUGGAGGAUGAAGGUCUUUGGAUUGUAAACUCCUGUCAGCAGGG